rnacentral:lncRNA from 1 species
UUUUGGCAGUUGGAAAUGCUGUUCAUAUGAGAAUAGUUUGGCUUUUUUCUUUGUUCGACAUUUCAGUUCAACUCUGAUUGAACUUUCUGGACUAGAGUUUGAUCUUGGUUCACUCGCAGUUCGUUAAUGCCUGGGCAGGAUUUGAAAACAGCAUUGAAAACUUUGUUAUAAUUUCUGUUUCAACCUUUUGGGGUGAUGGGUGAGUUGGGAAACCUGAAAAGAAGGGGAAAAGCCAUUGUCGCAACACAUUUGGACUGUCGAAGGCAAGUUAAAGGCAUGGUUAGAAUGCUGAAUCGGACAUGUCCGUGCCAUCGAAGAACUCGGAGCUAGCUUUGAUGAGCCAACAAAAUAUAGUUUGCAACUGUCAAAGGCAAGUUAAAGGCAUGUUUAGGAUGCUGG